GAUGAACGCUGGCGGCGUGCCUAAUACAUGCAAGUCGAGCGAACAGAUGAGGAGCUUGCUCCUCUGACGUUAGCGGCGGACGGGUGAGUAACACGUGGAUAACCUACCUAUAAGACUGGGAUAACUUCGGGAAACCGGAGCUACUACCGGAUAAUAUAUUGAACCGCAUGGUUCAAUAGUUAAAGACGGUUUUGCUGUCACUUAUAGCUUGAUCCGCCCCGCAUGAGCUAGUUGGUAAGGUAACGGCUUACCAAGGCAACGAUGCGUAGCCGACCUAAGAGCGAGAACGACCACACGGCACCUGAGACACAGUCCCGACUCCUACGAGAGGCAGCAGUAGUGAAUCUUCAGGAAUGGGCGAGAGCAGGACGGAGGACAGCCGCGUGAGUGCUGAAGGACUUCGGAUCGUAAAACUCUGUUGUUAGGGAAGAACAAAUGUGUAUGUAACUAUGCUCAUAUUGACAGUACCUACUCAGAAAGCCACGGCUAACUACGUG
rnacentral:rRNA from 1 species